rnacentral:lncRNA from 1 species
UUUUUUCCAUCAUUUGAAAUCACAUAAUCACGUGAGCUUGAAACCAAGAUAGAGCUUAUGGUUUGAUUCUUCUUAGCAUUCUCUUCUUGCUCUUUCAGGAAAUUCAGUCUAUCAAGGUUGAACGGAUACCCAUCCACGCCAUGUUCCUUGACAGUGCUGACUCCAUCAUCGCAGGAAACCUUGCCAUUCGUAUCAAAAAUGACAAGAUUAGGGAUCCCUCUUACUUUGAACACUUCCUUAAGACGUUUGCGGGUCUCCGUAUCAGAGAAGGGAAUAGCAAGCCAUGGCAUUUCGGAGAAGUACGUGUUGAAGGAUUCAUCAUCUCUGUCAGAAGAAAUGAAGACCACCUCAAAGUCCCCUUUGGAUGAUAGCUGUUCAUAGACUUCUACCAACAACGGAGUGAAAUUACGGCACGGCCCGCACCACGAACCAGAGAAGUAGAAUCCCACAAUCUUCCCAACCAAAUUGCUGACCUUAACCUAAAAAUUAAUUUCGAAAAUUAUCAGAAAAAAAAUCAGCCCUUAACGAAUCAAAAUCUUAUUCAUGGUUUCUUUCUCUUGCCAGUGAGAGAUGCAACAAAAAAAAAGAGCUUUUUCUUAAUCAUAAAAGCUUCAGAAAUUGGUCAUAAAUUUGUUCUUCAGCAAGGCUUUGCAGUCUAAUUUAAACAUGAUAUGCAUCUUAAUUACUAGAAAAACCUACAAGUUCAUAUAAAAAAAGACGUCAACUUAUAAUAAGACAAGAAGAAGUAGAAUUGAAUAAGAUCAGAGAAACUCAUAUGCUAAAAGCAGUACCUGAUCACCAUUGUUGCGGAUGAGAAAGUCCCUCUCUUCUGAAGAAAGAAGCUUUGAAAGGUCGAGAGAAACGUCUUCGGUGGCCAUAGCUAGCUAUGUGAUGAACUACUCAAAAGGCUAGAACAAUUGCCAAUCCCAGUUGCUGUGUAAUGGAACUUCCAGGCUAAGGCUCCUUUAAAGUACCUGCUCGCCCGGCCUAGGAAAUUAUUAUUCUAAUUAGUCAACGACAACUUCAAGGCUUGGUGUCGGGUGAUGACGAAGACCUUAUGACGUAGGUCCGCUGAAGUGGUAAUUCGCAUUAUUACGUGCUUCUAGAAAUCUCCUCUUGCUUUUUUAGCUUUUAUUUUGAAUAACGCAGACAUGCUGAGUCACUUGGCCCAACAAACAUGCCUUGUUUUUAGCCUCUUUUUUUUUUUUUCUUUAUCUUUAUCCUUAAGUUUUAAUUUAAUUUCCUUAAAAUUAAUUAUUUAAAAACAUAUUAAGGAUGUUAUUUUAGUAAAUACUUAAAUUAUUAAAAUUAUAUAUGAAAUAUUAUUUUAUUAAAUAUCAUUUAAUCUUUAAUUUAUUUUCAAAUAAAAUUAUAAUAUCAUUCUUAUAAUAUUAGUAUGAAUUGUUUUUCACAACCCAUCAUGAUUUUUUUUUAUCUGUACAUAUACGUUGUCAAAAAAUAUAAUAAUAGAUUCUAAAAAACAAUUAAGGAUACUAUUGAACUAUAAAAUGAUAAUUGAUUAAGAGCAUAUUAAAAAAUGUGAUAGAAAUUGUAUUUUAAAAUAGUUUUUAUUGGAAAUAUAUUAAAAAAUAUUUUUUUUAAUUUUAAAAAAUUUAUUUUUGAUAUCAAUAUAUUAAAACAAUCUAAAAUACUUUAAAAAUAUAUUAUUUUUUUAAAAUUUAAGCAAAUAGUAUUUUAAGCAGUACUAAACACCCCAUUUUACUAUAAACAAAAUCAUCAUAUUUUUAAUCUAUUUAUCACAUCAUGAAACAUCAUGAUGAUUAAUUAGCAAACACAACACCACCGUGUAGAAACCAUGUGUGACACUUCAAAUUCAUCGUAACAAAUUGAUCAAAUUAUAAAAUAAUCCUUAUACUUCUAAGAAAUUAGUAGCUCACUCCCUUUAUUUAAAAGAAGCCAUAUUUUACCUCCAUGUUAUCAUUUCCAUUUACUAUAACUUAGUUCUUCCUUUAGUUUUACAUUGUAAAAGUGCUAAACCAUCAUUUUAGGUAUUAGUUAAAAAAAAGUAUCUAUUAACAGAUUGACGGUCAAAGCUUCUCAAUUGAGUAACUUUUUUGUUUUUAAAAAACAGAAGGACUAACAUGUUGGUCUAUUGAAAAUGUAAGGAUUCAAUUAUAAUUUAAUUCAAGAAACAAAUAUGAUGCUAUUGACAUGUCCACAAGUCCACUGGCACAAUUAUUGCUUAUAACCCAUCACCUAUCAAUAGUGAUGGGGGAGGGGGGGGCCAGAAGUGUCCUUCUCCCGUAGGGUAAAAGCCCAGCAGUGUCCUCCCCCAUCGUAGGGUGGUCCAAACACAAGAUGGCUAGAGAUACUAAGAACCUGUUUGGUAUUGCGGUAGCUAUUAUGGUUGUGAUUUUAAAAAAGUUAUUUUAUAAAAAUUAUUUUUAGUUAAGGUUGGUUUAAUAAAAUAGGUGUUUGGUUAAAAUUGUGGUUGAAAUUGAGGUUGAACAAAAAGUAGUUUAAUGUGUUUGGUUAAUAAUGCUUUUGAAAUUGAGGUUAUAAAAUAAUUUUAAAAAAUAUAUAUUAAUAUUGAUGUUUUUUAAUUUAAAUAUUGUAGAUUUAACUAUUAUUAUUACAUCAUGAAAUAAAUCAUACUUUAUAUAAAAUAUUUUUUAUUGAUUCAUUAAACCAUCUACAUUUCUAUCACGUACGAAAUACAUCCGACAAGAACUACAGUUUUCAUAAUUUUUUAGCGUGUAAUAAAAUUAGAUAAAAUAUUAUCAUGUAUAAAACUAGUUUUUUUUUAAAAAAAAUGUUAAAAAAAUUAACACACUAAAAAAAAAGUGUCCACACAGUGCAAGUGAACAAUGCAAGAGAAUUGCACUGUUCACUAUUUUUAAGUGAACAGUGCACUUUUCUUGCACUGUUCACAUGAACAGUGCAUCACUAUGCACUGUUCAUGUUAAUUGAACAGUGCAAUUAACAUGAAUAGUGCAAAAAAAGUAAGGAAUUCUUGCUUUUUAAAUACUGCGUUUCCAACACAAAAAAGAAAUAGGAUCCAGUAAACAGUAUAUCUUUUUUUUUUAAUCAAACAACUACAAUUACGUUUUAAAUAAAACGCAACCGCAGUCACUGUGAUAAAAAUUAUUAUUAUCACCAUUAUUACCAUCAUAAUAAACUAUUAUUUUUAUUUUUAUUGCUGUUAUUGUUACUCUUAUUAUUAUUAUCAAAAAAUUUAUCAUCAUCAAUAAUAUUAUCACACCUAUUAAUAUCAUCAUCAUAAAUAAUAUUGUUAUUUUCAUUAUUAUUUUUAUUACUACUACUAUCAUCACUAUUUUUAUAACUAACAUUACUAUUAUUAUUUUUAUUUUUAUCACCACCAUCACCACCACAAGUCCACAACCACCACCACCACCAUUAUUGAAAAAGAAAAAACCUUAAACUUGAUUUGAAUAGAAUUGAAAACUAUAAAUUUUUUUAUAAAAAGACUAGGAAAAACAAUAAGAAAUUAAAAGAAUAUGGACCAAAUUGAAAUCAUUAUUAUUAUCAUUGGCAAAAUAAAAAAUUAUAAACUUGAUUUGAAGAAUAAAACUGAAAGUAAUAAAAACUUUGAUAAAAAAACAAAGAAAAAAAAUUAAAAAUUAAAAGAAAAGAAGACCGAAUAUAUACAAAUUAAAAAUCAAGGGUUAAAUUGAAAAAAAAACUUUCCCAAAAGGAAAAAUGAUCAAAAUACCAAAAUCAAAACUAAAAGAACUGAAUUUGAAAUACCAAUAACAAUGAGGUCCAUAGUGCUUUUCGGGGGGCAGGAAAAAAAACAAAAGGAAAAAAAAAGGAUCACUAGCAAUAAACCAAAUAUAUUUUAACUACACAAGCCACCUAUUAUAAAAGAGGAGACAGUGAGACAUCAAAUUACACAGCAGAAGGACAAUUUUUAUCAUUGGGAGUCGCUGCAUGCACCGUCCAAAUUACACAACAGCUCCCAUGUGAUGGCUCGUGUUGUGCACGUAGCAACAACUUUUUUAAAAUAAAAAAAUAUUAUUUAAAUGUUAAAUUGCAUUACUAUCCUCAACCAAAUCAACAAUUAACAAAAAAAAAAACAAGAGUAAAAGACCCUAAUACCCUUGAUCCCAAUGAAUUAAUUUUUUUAGAUCCAAGGGUACAUGUGUAAUUUCACUAUGUAUUAAAAAUAAAAAAUACCUAUAUACUCCUAUAUGAAACUAUUGAUUUUUUUUACUCCUAGAGGUAUUUUUUUUAUUUUAUUUUUCAUUAAAUAUUAAAAAUAUAAAAAUGCCCUCAAACAAACCUCUAAUAAUUAAUAUUCUGUGUGAAAUUACCAAAAUACCUCUGAAUCAAAGGUAAAUAAUUUUUUUUAAGGCUAUAGACAUUAUUUCACUAUUGUAAUGGAUAGUAAUAUGACUCUAUAGCCAUAAUGAAUUUGCCUUUUUUUUAGUAUUUUUUUUAUAAUUAGUCAACUAUACUUCAAGACUUGGCUGGUGUCAGGUGAUGACAAAGAUAUAAUGAUGUAUAUUAGAUGCUUAUAUAAAUCUCUUGUUUUUUUAAAAAAAAUGAAAAACAUAUUCCAUUUUGUAAUCUUUUUUUUUUCCGUUUGUAUCAUAGUUUUUAAACCCGACCUGGUGGUCGACCCAGUAUAAUAAUUGGGUCACGGGUCAGAUGGGUUGACUCGGGUUAAUAAAAAAAAAAAUAAUUUCUUGCUUGCCCUUGGACUAAUAAUAAUAAUAAGCAUCAUUGAAAAAAAGAAAAGUUUCUAGAGAAUAACCCUGCUUGCCACUCAUGUUUGACCAGAUCCAAAACCAAACAUUGAUUGCCCUUAUAUAAUUAGCACAAUCACCCUCACAACACAGUACACACAAAUCCCUACCCCGCUCUUUACAAACCACCUUCCCGCCACCUCCACAGCCACCACAAGCCCACCAUCACCUUCUCAAUUUUGGGAUUCAAAGUUCCUUCUCAAAGGCGUAGAAGAGAUUACGAAAUACAAGAGCAAUGCCUACCUUCACAACCACAACUAUUAUGUCAUCUCAAAGCAGCAACCUUAGUCUCCACAAACUCAAGAUUAACCCAAAAACACAAUCAAACAUAGUCACAAUUGGUGGGUGAAUUUUUCAAACAACAGACUAAACCCUAACUCAAGCAGAUCUGAAAUCCCUCUUUUCCUAACUCUCCAAGCUGAAUCAACUUGUUCCCUAUUUCAUCAAUCGAGACCCUAAUUUAUUCUCUAUUCUCUUAUCCCUCUUGAGAACCGGAAAUCUCCCCUCAAAGACCAAGUUUUCUGUGAAGAGUCAAAGUUUUACAAGAUUGAAGAGAUUAGUUUUCUGUGAUUCUGUAUUUAUGUUACAAAUGAUUUGAAGCAAAAGAAUUAAUUUGAUUGCUGCAACUCUCAUCUUAAUUUAUUAGAGAAGAAAAAUCGAGCUAAAACCGUGAAGCCUAGUUUAAAUGAACGAACAAUUAACUUUUAUACGUGGGAUCUUGCACGUGAAGCCUAGGAAAGGGCAAUGGCCAAAUAGAGAGACCCUGUUUUUAGAGGGGAGGAAAAUAGAAUUUUUAAAUACAAUAACUAUCAUUUGGCAAUUAACGGUAUCUUCUGAGUUGUGACUUUUCCGCAAUCAAAAGCACAAUUGAUUUUUAUUAAGUUUUUUUAAAAAUUUCAACUCUCACCCGCACAAUAAUAUUUUUAAUAAUCAAUCCAUCUCAAAUUAUUAAAAAAAAUUAAAUACAAAAUAAAUUCUAAGUAAUUUUGAAAAAAUAACAAAAAAAUUCUAAAUAAAAUAAAAAAAAUAUCUUAAUUCAAUUAGGUAAGCAUAAUAGCUUAUGGUUUUUUUCGUAAUGCCUUCUCAAUAUCUAAUUGAUAUUAUAUUUUAACUUUAUAUGAAAUUUUUUACUCAAUUCAAUAAUCAAAUCAAAAGUUAUAUCUAUUAACAUAAAACUAUAUAUUAGAAAAACAAGCUCAAUUCACGUGUGAGUAGGAAAAAAAAUUGAAUCCAUAAGUCUUGUAAUAAAUAAGACCCAAAUAUCUUAAAUUAACCAUUAAAUGCCUUUUUAACCUUCUUAGCUCCUAACUCCUAACUUUUUAAUAGAUCCAAUUGGCACAUGUAUUAGAUCAUGUAGUAUUGCUUGAUAAGUCUCAACAACAAUUUUUCAAUUCAUCCAAAUUGAUAAGAAGAAAAAUAAAUGAAAUAUGGAAAACCACUCUCUAUAAAGAAAAUGACAAUAAAAUCUUCCAUCAAACUCUUAACCAUCUCAUUGCAAAAAACCCUCUCGUCGGUCGUCGAAACCACCAAAAUAUAAUUCUGACUUAAUUAUCACAAACAAAAUAAAUUUAUAGUAUGAUCGUGAAAACCAGGUCAAACUCAAGGAAAAUUUUGUUUAAUCUUCCUACAAUAUACUGAAAUGAGAAAGAAUGAGAGAUUUGGAUGAAAAAUUCAAGAAACAAUAAUUCUGAAAAUAAUAAAUUGAUGUCGUUAAAUCAGUUCAAGGAUCCACACAUUCAUUCCUAUAAAUCUGUUGAUCAUCGAAGUAAAAUAAAUAUUCUUUCGCAUCAAACAAAUAAACUCGAUAUCCCUUAAAGCUGAGGAAAAUCGAUGAGAUUAUAAGUUCAUUAAUUAGAAAAAGCUCUUUAAUUAAUUUCUUACCAUCAAAGGAAUGUAAUAUUGAAAGCAAUUUUCAUUUACUCGGUAGUAGUCUUAGAAAUAAAAUCUAUGCAUUUAUUCUAAGCAAACAUUCAAAAGAUUGACAAUUUUAACUUAGUUUAUUCUUCUCUAAUAAAUUAAGAUGAGAGUUACAGCAAUCAAAUUAAUUCUUUUGCUUCUUACUCUAGUUCCUAACAACAAUUACGGAUUGAAAAAAACUAGAAAGCAUACAUGCCAUCUCAAAACAAUUCAAUAAGCUUGAAUAACAAUCAAUAACAUAAUUCUGAACAAGAAAAAAUGAAUACUUGAAUAUGAUAGAAUUACAAUGAUAAUGUUACUUCUCACAACAUGUUAAUGGAGAUGGUGUGUAUCCCUCUUGAACCUAAUUCAGGAGUUUAGUUCAUAGUUGCUGAAAAAUUGACAAAAGCAGAGAAGAAAGGAAUGUUUUUCGACUCUUGUUUCAGCUGUGUUCUGCUUUCUUUAUCCUCCCCAUAUGCUACCGAAAUCUUCAGGAUUCUUAAACUAAUUAGGAGUCUUCAUGAUAUUAAAUUCGUUCCUUCUUUAUCUGGUCUUUAAGGUUGGAUAAAUCUCUCAGAAUUUAUCUUGAAAUCUGCUUCUGCUGUUAUCAUAAUUUUAUUGUAAUACCAACUCUGUUGUAAUUUAGACUUCGAUUCUGACUUGGUUUCUUGUAAUAUCCGACCAUUCCAACUAUAUUCUUUCAUUCAUGACAUGUUAAAGGCUUGAUCUGCACCUUUCUUGGGUCCUAAGACCCAUCUUUUUUAUGUCAGACUCUCAGCCUUAUUGGGAUACUCGGCACCAUUAGUUUCCAAAUCAGAUCAGGGGACCCAUUUUGACCAACCAGAUUGUGUCCAUAUUCUGUCCUUCAAAUCGAUUUUAUCUAACUUUAAGUCUUUCAUGAAAGUUGUAAUCCUGGAUGUGUAGAUGAAUUUUGGUUUUGAAUCACCUACUUUCGAUAUCAAAAACUCAAGAUAUUCCCGUUUGAAUCUCUAGUGUAAAAGCAGAGAAUCCUGCUGCGAGAAGAACUCUGGCCCGAGUUUGCAGGUCUGAUUCGAGGUCCAAAUGAGAUCGGAAUUUUGCCCAUAAUACUUUCCUGGAAAGCUUGACACGUGUACUUCAACUUAGAAUAGCCCACCUUCUCAUUUUAGAACUCUAACUUGACAAAAAACUUGUCACAAGAAGCUAGGUCUAAAACAUAAAAUGCAAAAUUUCUUAUGUUUUAACGAUUAAUUCACGAAGUCUCUUCUGCAUGUCAAACUCAUAAAAAUAACUUCCAAUCAACUCAAAUAAGUUCAAAAUACAUUAAAAAGCAUAGUGCAAAUGGAAUAAAAACUAUGUAUAUUUUGCACUUAUCAUCCUUACAAACAUAGCAUAAGCAGUUAUCUCAAAUUUCAUACCAUUAUUUUGUCAAUUUUUUGCACAAUCAAUAUCCCUGACAUGACUUGAUGUCAAACUUGUUGUUAAUGACUUAAUAGAUAACAAGACUAAGAAAUUUUGAUCUUUCAUCUUCAUAAUUUUGAAAAUAAAUCUAUUAAAAAGUUAUGUAUGUUAUGUUGACAAGUCAACAAAACAAUGCAUAACUACUGAGUUUUUCAAACUAAAACUCCAUAGAUAUAUACAUGUGAAAUCCCCGAUGCUAAAUGAAAUCAUAAAAGAAAGAUCUCAUAGAGUAAUUUCCAGGAACAUUUUUCAUGCAAUAAAUAAAGUAAGAGGUUGGUAUUUUUGUGUGUGUGUAUUUAGUCAUUUAAAAGUUAGAACAUAAUAAGAUUAAUAGACAAUGCAUUACAGUAAACUAGCAAUUGGUAAACUCAAAAGAUGCAAGACUUUCCACAAUGCCUCUGGUCUUCGAUUUCAGUAAAUAUCCAAGGCUACAAAACACAUUGAAUAUUAUUCUAAAAGAAAAUCUUGAUUUUAAGGAAAUGAGGAUAUGAUUUGGUAACAAUUACUUAAAAUGUUGAAAUUAACAAGUCAAAGCUCCAUACUCUUAAUUUUAGAAACCGUUUCAAUUUUUUUUUUGCUAAAAUUUAAUAUGUAUUAUAUGUUUUGAAUCGUUUUGAUGUACUGAUGUUAAAAAUAAUUUUUUAAAAAUGAAAAAACAUCAUUGGCAUGCAUUUCAGCAUAAAAAGUUAUUUGAAAAGCAACCGCAACCACACUGCAAAACAUACCCACCAAUGCAACUUUAACUAUCAUGCAUGAAGAAAUCUUAGGGCAAUUAGACUUGCGUUUAUUCAAAUCUACAUAUGAAAAAAAAAUCCCCAUUUCCUAAAACUCGCAAAGAUCUAGCACUUUGAUGCAUUAUUAUAAAUCCAAAUCGGCAAGCUUGCUAUAACAUUGCUUACAUGAUCGCCCAUGAAUUAUCACAGCAAUUAGCUCCCUAGUUUCCAAUAUUCGCAAUUAAUGAGUCAAUAUGGUUUUUUCCUUUGAAACAACUUGUCCACGUGAAUCACAUCUGCAUAAGAAAAGACAAUAUAAGCCAUAAAAAUUGAUCUAUACCAUAACCAGUCCUGAUAUUGACAAAGGAAAGUUAAAGGCUACAUUUGCAAGCUAUAUUCAUCAAACAUGUUACAACGUGUUGAAUUAGUAAGAUGUAAAUCCUUUAGCAAAGAAAACAAUAAGAUGGUUAAACAUGCGGGCUUGCCGAGCCACCUUUACCUGUUUUAAGUCUUUAUUUUUAUCUUUUGGAUAUUUUCCUUAAAUUUUAAUUAUAUUUCAUUAAAACUAAUCAUUUAAAAAUAUAUUAGCUUAAAUUAAUUAAGAAUAUAUUUGGGGUAUUAUUUUAUUAAAUAUCAUUCAAUUUUUACUUUUCUUUAUACAACCUAUCGUGAUUUUUUUUAAUUUAUUCCGACGAGUAAUUAUUUUUAUUAUGAUAUAAUUAAAUGAAAAAUAAGCUUAAAAAAUAGAUUUAUUAAACCAAGCUAGGUUUAAUAUGGGUUGAACCAAGUCAAUUCAAAAUAUUAUCAUCUUAAUAUUAGAAAAACAUCACCAAUAAAUUUCACAUAAUAACACGCAAAUAGUAUGUUGUUCUUAUGUUUUGUUUCAAUUGAAUUUAAAUUGUUUCUCUUCUUCUAAAAACAUUAUUGCCAUAUAAUCAAAUAAAAAAAACUAAAGAGUUAUUAAUGAUUUAAAAUAAGAUAUAUAUAUAUAUAUAUAUAUAUAUAUAUAUAUUUAUUAGCUUCCUAAAUUAUUUUUUAGUUAAUGUUAAUGAUUUUUUAACAUUUAUUUGCAUAUAAUUUUCAAUCAAUUUUACUAGAUAAAUAUAUGGAGUUCAUAAUAAUUAUUUUUAUUAGAAAAUUUAUUGAAAAUAUAUAAUGUUCUUUUUUAAAAUUAAAAAAAAUAAAAUUAAGUUGACAUGUGCCGGAGCGCAAGCCUCCUAGCCGCUACUCUUCACUGGGACCAUUGAGUGGUUGGUCUAGAUAAUAUCGAUGUCGUCGUUGUAGUUUCCUGAGUCACUGGCUCUUCAAGAAUAAAUUAUUAGCAUACAUAAUAUCGAUGUCGUCUUUGUAGUUUCCUCGACGCGUCACUGGCUCUUCAAGAAUAAUUAUUAGUAUAGAUAUUUUUAUGUUUUUAAAAUAUUUUAAAAAAAAAUUAUUUUUUUAUUUUAAAUUAAUUUAUUUUAGUGUUUAUAGAAUUGAUUUGAUGUGUUAAUAUUAAAAAUAAUUUUUUAAAAAUAAAAAAAUUGUUUUAUUAUAUUUACAAGAUAAAAAUAUUUUCAAAAACAAUUGUAAUUAUAUUUUUAUAAGCCCCAUAUAUUCACCUAGCUAUAUGUUGUUUGAGAGUGGGUACAAAUAAAGAUUUGUUAAAAAUUAAUUUUUUAUUUUAUUUAAAAUUAAUUUUUUAUUUUUAGAUUAUUUCAAUAAGUUAAUAUCAAAAUAAAUUUUAAAUAAUAAUAAAAUAUUAUUUUAAAGUAUUUUUACAUACCUUGUACUAGAUUCACAGUAUCAAGAGAAGAAGGGUUGCUAGUUGCUACCGGAGAAGUUAGUUUCAUUGAUUGAUGGAAUGUUAUACUUUAGAAAUCAAAUAAUAUGGUGUCACGAGAAUUAAGCAAAUAGAAAAGCAUUAAAUUUAUGGAAAUCCUUUCCUGUUCUGCGAGGGGAAGGAGUUAGUGGUCUUGAUGUAGUUGUUGGCUUUGCUAACUUUUCCUGUUUUCUAUUAAAGUGUGGUUGUAGUUAUUUUUAAAAAUAUUUUUUUGUGUUGAAAUAUAUCAAAAUAAUAUAUUUUUUAUUUUUUAAAAAUUAUUUUUAAAAUUAGCGCAUCAAAACGAUACAAAACACAUAAAAAAAUUAAUUUUUAAUAAAAAAAUAGAAAUUUCUAGAAACACAAUUUAUUCGCGUUCCGAAACGGUGCCAUAACGGUUGCUUGGAUUGGAAAUUCUUGUUUCUUUUACGGUGGAGUUACAAUGGUUUCAUUGUAUAAUGUUCGUUAAGUCACAAUCAGCCCAGUUUUUGUAUUUAAUCAGCAUUACAAUUACAGGAAUAUUUGCUCCAGAGGUGAAGCUGGUUCUUCAUCCAGCCAAAUAGAAACAAAGAGAGCGGCACAAUGGCAUCAUGCAUAGCAUUUUCCUUUAGGAAUGACAAAACCCUCAUAUCAAGUGAUUGAGCUAUGAGAACAACCAUCAACCAUGGAUUCCCAAGUUUCAAAUGGAUUCACAAAAACACACAGAGCUGUUUAUUUAUUUUUCGUAUCCAAAUACAGGACAUGAAAACCCUUUCAGCCUCACACUUCUUAGAUACAUAACGACAACAGGAGAGACAUCCCCACUAUAUUCACACACAUGCAACAAACAUCUUCCAUUGCAUACUUACUACAGCAGAAAGCCCAUAAAACCCGACACAAGCAGCGCUUGCCUGCUUAAGCUCUGCGGCACGCAUCUCCAUCGCAGUUCCAUCCUUCCUUUCCCUUUUCAGUUCCAGUAUCUUCAUCUUCCUUCAAAGCACACUUAGGGUGAAGAUCAAAGUCACAUUGUUUGCAAUGGAAAGACCACCUAUUUCCAGUUUCCCCACAGCCAUCGCAAAUAUAUGUUUUGCGUUUAGUACGUAUCAGCUCAUGCUCAGUAUGAAGUUCGUGUUUCACUUUCUCUGGCCACCCCUUUGCCUUUUCCUCAAGCUCCUCCUCCAAUUGCUUUAGAUGUUCCUCGGUAAAUGGAAAAGCAUCUGCCCCGUAAGCUGUCAAGUGCAUCCGAGCUUCCUUGGUAAUGGUCCGGCCACUUGGGCCAAUCGCUACAGCUGCAGGAAUGCCUUGAAUUUUGAAUUUCCGACUCAGGAUUUGUUUCCUUCCAUCACCAAAUGGAAGGGCUAACCAAGGCAUUUCUGAAUAGAACUCGUCAAAGGUGGUUUGAUCGCUGUCACUUGAGAUGAAGAUCACCUCAAAUGCAUUGUCUUUUGCUUUAAUUGCGUGGUAUGCUUCAAUUAGCUUGGGUAAAAAGGCACGACAAGGAGGGCACCAUUGAGCUGAGAAGUAAAGAAGAAUGUUCUUUCCAACUAGAUCGGACACUGGGACCUAAUCAAAGAGUAAACCAUUUGAAUGAUAAAAAAAACCUUUGCUAAUGAAUUCAAUUCGUGAUAAUAAGAAAGUUAUUGAAAGUAAUGCAAUAACAACAUGCGAGGUUAGCAUAGAACAAAAAAAAUUACCUUGGAGCCACUUUUGCCAAUCACAAAAUCAUUUUCCCCAUUAACCAAAACUGACUCAAGCGUCUGCGAUUCCAGUUUUGCCUUUUCAAUUGCAGCUAGCUCGUCAAGCUUUUCCGGUGUAAAUGGGUAGGCUUCGAUACCAUGUUCUUCGAUUAGUUCAGCUACAUUUGGGUUCAAAGUCUUCCCAUCUUGGCCAAUUAUAACAAGAUUAGGAAUGGUUCUAAGUUCAAAAUACCGCACUAGCUUCUCGCAGCUCUUGUCCUUCAAUGGCAAUGCCAACCAAGGCAUUGUCUCAAAACUCUCUUUGAAGUCUUCUUCUUCGUCGUCUAGAGAUACUAGGACUACUUCAAAGUUCUCUCCUUUUUCCUUGAGCGUCUUAUACAAUUCCACUAGUUUAGGAGUGAAUUCACCGCACAUCCUAUGAGCAUGGACUGAAAAAUACAAGCCAACCAAUUUUCCUUCAAGGUCCAACACAGGGAUCUGCCAUUACAGAUAGCAAAAAUGUGAAUUAUGGCAUCAUCAAUUCAAUUUCAAAACUAGCUAAUUGAAUGAAGCAUCUACCUUUUUUCCAUCAUUUGAAAUCACAUAAUCACGUGAGCUUGAAACCAAGAUAGAGCUUAUGGUUUGAUUCUUCUUAGCAUUCUCUUCUUGCUCUUUAAGGAAAUUCAGUCUAUCAAGGUUGAACGGAUACCCAUCCACGCCAUGUUCCUUGACAGUGCUGACUCCAUUAUCGCAGGAAACCUUACCAUUAGUAUCAAAAAUGACAAGUCUAGGGAUCCCUCUUACUUUGAACAAUUCCUUAAGACGUUGGCGGGUCUCGGUUUCAGAGAAGGGAAUAGCAAGCCAUGGCAUUUCGGAGAAGUACGUGUUGAAGGAUUCAUCGUCUCCAUCAGAAGAAAUGAAGACCACCUCAAAGCCCCCUUUGGAUGAUAGGUGUUCAUAGACUUCUACCAACAAUGGAGUGAAAUUACGGCAUGGGCCGCACCACGAACCAGAGAAAUAGAAUCCCACAAUCUUCCCAACCAAAUCGCUGACCUUGACCUAAAAAUUAAGAUCAGAAAAAAACAUCAGCCCUUGACGAAUCAAAAUCUUAUUCAUGGUUUCUUUCUCUUGCCAGUGAGAGAAGCAACAAAAAAAAGAGCCUUUUCUUAAUCAUAAAAGCUUCAGAAAUUGGUCAUAAAUUUGUUCUUCAGCAAGGCUUGCAGUCUAAUUUAAACAUGAUAUUCAUCUUAAUUACUAGAAAAACCUACAAGUUCAUAUAAAAAAAGACGUCAACUUAUAAUAAGGCAAGAAGAAGUAGACUUGAAUAAGAUCAGAUCGAGGAACUCAUAUGCUAAAAGCAGUACCUGAUCACCAUUGUUGCGGAUGAGAAAGUCCCUCUCUUCUGAAGAAAGAAGCGUUGAAAGGUCGAGGGAAACGUCUUCGGUGGCCAUAGUUAGCUAUGUGAUGAACUACUCAAAAGGCUAGAACAAUUGCCAAUCCCAGUUGCUAUGUAAUGGAACUUCCAGGCUAAGGCUCCUUUAAAUUACCUACACGCCCGGCCUAGGAAAUUAUUGUUCUAAUAAUUCAACGACGACUUCAAGACUUGGCUGGCGUCGGGUGAUGACGAAGACAUUAUGACGUAGGUCUGCUGAAGUGGUAUUCGCAUUAUCACGUGCUUCUACAACUCUCCUCUUGCUUUUUUUUUUUAAUCUCCUUUUUUUGUUUUUGUUUGUAUUCUAGUUUUAUCCAUGGUUUAAUAAUUUUUUUUGUGAGUUUGUUAUUAAAUGUAUUUUGUGUUUUAUCUUUUUAAUAAAAUCUUUAUAUUUCUUGAUACAAAAAAAUCCUUAAUUGGUUUUUUUAAUUAAAAAAUUAUUCUCUUUUGUUUUUGAUGCAUUUGAAAAUGAAUUUUUCUAUCAAUUUUUUUUCUAAUAUAAAUCAAUAAUCAUAUGUAAAGCAUAGUUGAAAUGAAUGAACGAACAAACAAACUAUAUACAUGACAUCUUACAUAGGAAGCUUAGGAAAGGAUGAAGGCCAAGAAUAAUGUAAAAUAAAACCUAUGCCUCCACUACCAAUAAUGUAAAAAUAAUUAUUGAGAAAAAUAAAUCAUAAAAAUAUACUUCCAGCUCUAGUCAUCCAAAGCUUCUUAAGUCUCAGAAAAAAAAAACAUUUAACACAAACCUCAAUAAAAUUCAAAUGCUAAUUAAAUUCAGAUUUUUGUAACGUAGUCUAUUUUCUAUCAAAUGUGACUUGAUAAUAAUCACAUGCAAUUUAAUAGACAGGCUAAAAUCCAAACUUGAUAUAGUUCUUGGGUUAUAAUAGAGUUUUUCAAUAAUAAAACUCUUAACUUUUUUUUUAUUUUAAAAAUAAUGAUAUUGCAUAUAUUUAAUAAUUAUAAAUAAAAUUAUAUUGUGUAUUUGAGCCACGUCAGGACUCUAUUUCAAUAAAGAGACCCUAUUUUUCCAGGGGAGAAAGAAAGAGUUUUUAAAUGCAAUACUUUGUCAUAAGUCGUGACUUUUCCACACUCAAAAGGGCACCAUACAUAUAUGUCAUUAUACUUUAUCUCCAAACGUAAUUAAAUUAGUCAAUUAAUUGUAAGUGAGGGAAGUUAAUGAAUUUCCACUCUAAAAUGUUCAAAUUCAUUAUCCGUUUUCAACUUUAUCCUGAUUAAAUCAGGUUAAGUAGAUUACUUUCUUCAUUCGUGGGUAUCCAUCAGAUAUCCUAAUCUAUUUUUUAAUUAAUUUUAUAAAAAUCAAACCUAAACUAAAAAAACAAAAUAAUGCUUUAUUUAUGAAUCAUAAAACUAUGAAAUUAAAUUAAAUAUAAAACCAAGAGAUCUGGUUAGUUUAGUGUUGUUGCAAUGUGAAUAAAAACUCAAAAUAUCACGGAUUGAAAUAGUGUUCUAGUUAUUUUUUGAAAUUUUUUUCAUUAUAGUUACCAAACACUUUUUAAAAUUUCUUUUAUCUUUGACAUUUCAUUAAUAGAGAAUUUGGACUUAUUGGUUGGUUUUGAUUGGUUUUCUAUAAUUUUUUUUUUGAAAAAUUAAAUGUCAUUAUAUUAGAGUGAUGUUCGAUUUUACAAAAUAGAAUCCUAUUUUAUUGCAUACAAAAAUUUAAGACUUAGGGGGGCCAAAAUUGAUAGUUAGCAAUGUUAAAGAAUCAUCUUAACCCAAUAGCUUAAGUUUUCAAGUGACGUUCCAAGAUAUGAUUUAUACUAUUCUCUAACACAUCCCCUCAAGUAAAAGCUCUUUGGUCUUGAAAUUUGCACAGACUCACAUUAUUUUGUGCUUAAUUUUUAUCAAAUAAAUAGGGAUGGUGAGAUUCGAACUCGUGACCGCUUGGUUAUCAAGGCUCUGAUACCAUGUCAAAGAACCUUCUCAACCCAAUAGCUUAAGCUUUCAUGUGAGGUCCCAGAAUAUAAUUUAUAUUAUUCUCUAACAAGUAAGAAUUUAAGGUUUUUUUAUUUGAUAAAUGUUCAUUUCACAUCAUUUUACUUUGAAAAAUUUAUAUUUUGAUCCAAAACUCUAUUUUAAUCACAUUUCAGACUAUGAGUUUUAGAAAAAAGAUAAAAAUUCAUUAAAAAUAGCGAAAGAGAGAGAAACACAUACACUGACAAGGUUUUGUUUGUGAAAAUAGCUUAAAUGUGUGUCAAUGUGUUAUUCUUGACAAAAAGAGUGCUACUAUAAUGUUUUUAAGCUUUAUAUUGUCAAAAAAGAUAAAUCGAGGUUGAGAGAAUUAUUUUUAAGUUAAACUUUGUGUUUUAAAAUUAUUUUAGAGUUUCUUUUUAGUUGAUGGAUUAGUUUAGAGACAAUUUAAAAGUAUUUAUAAGAUGUUUUUAAAUAAAAAUAUAUUAAAAAAUAGAAUUUUAAAUAAAAAACUCCAACCCAAUUCUUUAACCACUUCUCUAUUAUAAAAAAAAUAUAAAGCAAAUGAUGUGACAAAAAAAUAAAUCAAGCAAAUGAUUGUCAUUUGUUUUAUUAAAAAAAAAAAUAAAGGACAAAUACUAUGUCAUCCAUCAAAGAUAAAAUAAAAUGGCUCUUUCAUCUUUUGGAUAAGCAUGCCGAGUCACUUGGCCCCACAAACAUGGCUUGUUUCUAGCUUCUUUUUUUUUUUUUAUGAAUCUUUAUCCUUGAAUUUUAAUUUUAUUUCAUUAAAAUUAAUUAUUUAAAAACACAUAAGGAUAUUAUUUUAGUAAAUACUUGAAUUAUUAAGAAUAUAUACGAAAUAUUAUUUUAUUAGAUAUCAUUUAAUUUUUAUUUUAUUUUAAAAUAAAAUUAUAAUAUUCAUUAUAUAAUAUUAGUAAGAGAUGUUUUUUGGACAACCUAUCAUGAUAUUCCUUAUCUUUGCACAUUCGGUGUCAGAGACUAUAAUAAUAGAUUCCAUGGAAAACAUUAAGGGUAAGAUUCAAUUAUUAAAUGAUAAUCGACUAAAAUAGUGUUUGGAGCCGAUCUGUAUUUUUUAAAAAUUCAAAAUUAUUUUUAUUAAAAAUUAAUUUUUUUUUAUAUUUUGGAUCGUUUUGAUGAGCUGAUUUCAAAAAUAAUUUAAAAAAAUAUCAUUUUGAUGCAUUUCAGAAUAAAAAAUACUUUGAAAAGCAAUCGUCACCAUACUCCCAAACAAGAAUUAAGAACAUGUUUAAAAAUGUAGUAGAUGAUGAGUUUUAAAAUAUUUUUUACUCGAAAAUAUAUUAAAAAAUAUAUAUAUUUUUUAAUUUUUUAAAAUUUAUUUUUAACAUCAAUACAUUAAGACAAUUCAAAAACACUAUAAAAAAAAAUAAAUUUUAAACAAAUAAUACUUUGCCCCAUUUAACUAUAAACAAAAUCAUCGUAUUCUUAAUCUAUUUGUCACAUCAUGAAACAUGAUGAUCAUUAACUGGCAAACACAACACCAACACCAUUACGUAGAAAUCAAGUAUGAAGGGCUCGUAAAUCUAGUCGAUAUAUGUAUAAAUUAGCCCGAACAUUCACAUUAAUAAAAACAAAAAAUCAUGUGUGACACUUAAAAUUUAUCAUAACAAAUUGAUCAAAUUAUAAAGUAAUCCCUAUAUUUUUAAGAAAUUAAUAGCUCACUCCCUUUUUUUAAAAUAAGCCAUAUUUUACCUCCAUGUUAUCAUUUCCAUUUACUGUAACUUAGUUCUUCCUUUAGUUUUACAUUAUAAAAGUGCUAAACCAUUACUUUAGGUAUUAGUGAAAAAAAAAAAAAAGUAUCUAUUAACGGAUUGACGGUCAAAGCUUCUCAAUUGAGUAACUUUUUGGUUUUUAAAAACAGAAGGACUAACAUAUUGGUUUAUUGAGAAUAUGAGGAUUCAAUUAUAAUUUACUUCAGGAAACAAAUAUGAUGCUAUUGACAUCCCCACAAGUGAACUGGCACAAUUAUUGUUUAUAUAAAAUUUCAAAAUUAUUUAUUCUUAAUUUUAACAUUUUAUUUUUAAAAUUUUAUUGUAAUGAAGUGACAGAGUAUGCUAAGAGUAUACCAAAAUAAAACACUGUUGUUUUAAUAUAAAAAUUAAUUUACAGGUUGACUGGAUAGCCUUAUAACCUAGAUGUUUUUCGAAGUUAGUUUUGAAUGAAUGGAGUGUUAUUAGUUAGUUCAGCGUGAUAAUUGGACUGAAAAUCUUUCGUUCUAAAUUAUCAACCAUUCAGAAUUGUUUUGUGCGUGAGGAUGCCAAAUUACCAAAACUAAACCCUAUUUAUAAUCCAUCACCUAUCAAUAGUGAUGUAAGAGUUCCAGCUUGUUUUCUGCAGCUGUGCCAAAACCUGGAGGGUCUAUACUAGCCCAGCAGUCCUUCCCCCGUCGUAAGGUAAGAGCCCAGCACCAGCAGUGUCCUUCCUCCGUCGUAGAGGGGUCCAUACACGAGAUGGCCAGAGAUAGUCAGUGAUUUCGAAAUAUUCCUUUUCAGACUGCAACAAUUGAUAAGGUUUUGUGGCUGUCAUGGCGAAGGCAAAUUAAAGCACAUGAGAUUCAGUGGUGAGAAGCUAUGGAAAGUGGCAAAAAGAAACAGCGAGAACAUGAAACACGCAUUUGAACAUGAAAAAGUAAAUAAGCUGAACAUAAUUAAUGGGCCAUAGAAGCGAAGGUUUUUUCAAUGGCUUCAAACUUUUUGGCAGCGUGCUUGAUUGUUGUCGCCGAAUUUCUUGGCAGUGUGCUUGCUUGAAUUGCGGAUGUAUCACAUGGAUGAUAUUUUCGUUCUUUUGAGGCAUCAAAUAAUAUGGUGUCACGAGAAUUAAGCAAAUAGAAAAGCAUUAAAUUUACGGAAAUCUUUUCCUGUGGUCUUGGUGUAGUUGUUGGCUUUGCUAGCUUCUCCAAGCUCACCACUAAUCCUAUCUGUCCUUUGCGUCCCAUGAACUGAUACAAGCAAUAGCCUGCCCGUGAUUCUGGUUUAAUUGAUUGCAGACAUGUUCAUCAACAAACGCAGGUGUCCGCCCUCCAAAUAACUGCCAUGAACCCAGUUUCCACCUGCUGGGAUUUCAUUUGUCUUUCUUAGUUCUGAGUUCGAAUUAAUGCUGCUUUCUUGAUUCUGAAAUCCGCCUCAACAAGUUAUUUGAGAAGGCAAAGAGGGGGGAAAAUGACUAUCCAGUUGCUUGGAUUGGAAAUUCUAGUUUCUUUUACGGUGGAGUUACAAUGGUUUCAUUGUAUAAUGCUGGUUAAGUCACAAUCAGCCCAGUUUUUGUAUUUAAUCAGCAUUACAAUUACAGGAAUAUUUGCUCAAAUGGGUCACAGGAUUCACAAAAACACAGAGAGCUGUUUAUUUAUUUUUCGUAUCCAAAUACAGGACAUGAAAACCCUUUCAGCCUCACACUUCUUAGAUACAUAACGACAUCAGGAGAGACAUCCCCACUAUAUUCACACACAUGCAACAAACAUCUUCCAUUGCAUACUCACUACAGCAGAAAGCCCAUAAAACCAGACACAAGCAGCGCUUGCCUGCUUAAGCUCUGCGGCACACAUCUCCAUCGCAGACCCAUCCUUCCUUUCCCUUUUCAGUUCCAGUAUCUUCAUCUUCCUUCAAAGCACACUUAGGGUGAAGAUCAAAGUCACAUUGUUUGCAAUAGAAAGACCACCUAUAUCCCGUUUCCCCACAGCCAUCGCAACCGUAUGCACUGCGUUUAGUACGUAUCAGCUCAUGCUCAGUAUGAAGUUCGUGUUUCACUUUCUCUGGCCACCCCUUUGCCUUUUCCUCAAGCUCCUCCUCCAAUUGCUUUAGAUGUUCCUCGGUAAAUGGAAAAGCAUCUGCCCCGUAAGCUGUCAAGUGCAUCCGAGCUUCCUUGGUAAUGGUCCGGCCACUUGGGCCAAUCGCUACAGCUGCAGGAAUGCCUUGAAUUUUGAAUUUCCGACUCAGGAUUUGUUUCCUUCCAUCACCAAAUGGAAGGGCUAACCAAGGCAUUUCUGAAUAGAACUCGUCAAAGGUGGAUUGAUCUCUGUCGCUUGAGAUGAAGAUCACCUCAAAUGCAUUGUCUUUUCUUUUAAUUGUGUGGUAUGCUUCAAUUAGCUUGGGUAAAAAGGCACGACAUGGAGGGCACCAUUGAGCUGAGAAGUAAAGAAGAAUGUUCUUUCCAACUAGUUCAGACACUGGGACCUAAUCAAGAGCAAACCAUUUGUAUAAUAUAAAAAACCUUAGCUAAUGAAUUCAAUUCGUGAUAAUAAGAAAGUUAUUGAAAGUAAUGCAAUAACAACAUGCGAGGUUAGCAUAGAACAAAAAACAUUACCUUGGAGCCACUUUUGUCAAUCACAAAAUCAUUUUCCCCAUUAACCAAAACUGACUCAAGCGUCUGCGAUUCCAGUUUUGCCUUUUCAAUUGCAGCUAGCUCGUCAAGCUUUUCCGGUGUAAAUGGGUAGGCUUCAAUACCAUGUUCUUCGAUUAGUUCAGCUACAUAUGGGUUCAAAGUCUUCCCAUCUUGGCCAAUUAUGACAAGAUUAGGAAUGGUUCUAAGUUCAAAAUACCGCACUAGCUUCUCGCAGCUCUUGUCCUUAAAAGGCAAUGCCAACCAAGGCAUUGUCUCAAAACUCUCUUUGAAGUCUUCUUCUUCGUCGUCUAGAGAUAUUAGGACUACUUCGAAGUUCUCUCCUUUUUCCUUGAGCGUCUUAUACAGUUCCACUAGUUUAGGAGUGAAUUCACGGCACAUCCUAUGAGCAUGGGCUGAAAAAUACAAGCCAACCAAUUUUCCUUCAAGGUCCAACACAGGGAUCUGCCAUUACAGAUAGCAAAAAUGUGAAUUAUGGCAUCAUCAAUUCAAUUUCAAAACUAGCUAAUUGAAUGAAACAUCUACCUUUUUUCCAUCAUUUGAAAUCACAUAAUCACGUGAGCUGGAAACCAAGAUAGAGCUUAUGGUUUGAUUCUUCUUAGCAUUCUCUUCUUGCUCUUUCAGGAAAUUCAGUCUAUCAAGGUUGAACGGAUACCCAUCCACGCCAUGUUCCUUGACAUGUCUAACUCCAUUAUCGGAGGAAACCUUACCAUUAGUAUCAAAAAUGACAAGCCUAGGGAUCCCUCUUACUUUGAACACUUCCUUAAGACGUUGGCGGGUCUCCGUAUCAGAGAAGGGAAUAGCAAGCCAAGGCAUUUCGGAGAAGUAUGUAUUGAAGGAUUCAUCGUCUCCGUCAGAAGAAAUGAAGACCACCUCAAAUCCCCCUUUGGAUGAUAGUUGUUCAUAGACUUCUACCAACAGUGGAGUGAAAUUACGGCAUGGGCCGCACCACGAACCAGAGAAAUAGAAUCCCACAAUCUUCCCAACCAAAUUACUGACCUUAACCUAAAAAUUAGUGUCGAGCAUAAUCAGAAAAAAAACAUUAGCCCAUAAAUUAAGAGGGUAAACAAAAACUGAGGCUUUUCUUAAUCAUAAAAGCUCUAGAAAUUGGUCAUAAACUUGUUCUUCAGCAAGGGUCGCACUCUAAUUUAAACAUGAUAUCCAUCUUAAUUACGAGAAAAAGUUUAAUAAGACAAGUAGAAGUAGAUCGCAUAAGACCAGAGAAAUCCAUAA